GUGGGGAAUAUUGCGCAAUGGGGGAAACCCUGACGCAGCGACGCCGCGUGGGUGAUGAAGGCCUUCGGGUCGUAAAGCCCUGUCGGAGGGGAAGAAGGACUCUCGUGCAAAUAGUUCGAGGGUUUGACGGUACCCUUAGAGGAAGCACCGGCUAACUCCGUGCCAGCAGCCGCGGUAAUACGGAGGGUGCAAGCGUUGCUCGGAAUUACUGGGCGUAAAGGGCGUGUAGGCGGUUUCGUAUGUCUGGCGUGAAAGCCCCGGGCUCACCUCGGGAAGUGCGUCGGAAACUGCGAGACUAGAGUCCCGGAGAGGGAGGUGGAAUUCCAGGUGUAGCGGUGAAAUGCGUAGAUAUCUGGAAGAACACCGGUGGCGAAAGCGGCCUCCUGGACGGUGACUGACGCUGAGACGCGAAAGCGUGGGGAGCAAACAGGAUUAGAAACCCUAGUAGUCC
rnacentral:rRNA from 1 species